CGGACGGGUGAGUAAUGUCUGGGAAACUGCCUGGUGGGAGGGGGUAACUACUGGAAACGGUAGCUAAUACCGCAUAACGUCGCAAGACCAAAGAAGGGGGACCGUUCGGGCCUCUUGCCAUCGGAUGUGCCCAGAUGGGAUUAGCUAGUAGGUGGGGUAACGGCUCACCUAGGCGACGAUCCCUAGCUGGUCUGAGAGGAUGACCAGCCACACUGGAACUGAGACACGGUCCAG
rnacentral:rRNA from 1 species